rnacentral:tRNA from 1 species
CUUUUAUUAGUUUAUUUAAAACACCAAAUUGUGGUUUUGGAGAAAAUUGGAAGA